AUUGAACGCUGGCGGCAGGCUUAACACAUGCAAGUCGAGCGGGGGAAGGUAGCUUGCUACCGGACCUAGCGGCGGACGGGUGAGUAAUGCUUAGGAAUCUGCCUAUUAGUGGGGGACAACAUCUCGAAAGGGAUGCUAAUACCGCAUACGUCCUACGGGAGAAAGCAGGGGAUCUUCGGACCUUGCGCUAAUAGAUGAGCCUAAGUCGGAUUAGCUAGUUGGUGGGGUAAAGGCCUACCAAGGCGACGAUCUGUGGCGGGUCUGAGAGGAUGAUCCGCCACACUGGGACUGAGACACGGCCCAGACUCCUACGGGAGGCAGCAGUGGGGAAUAUUGGACAAUGGGGGGAACCCUGAUCCAGCCAUGCCGCGUGUGUGAAGAAGGCCUUAUGGUUGUAAAGCACUUUAAGCGAGGAGGAGGCUACUUUAGUUAAUACCUAGAGAUAGUGGACGUUACUCGCAGAAUAAGCACCGGCUAACUCUGUG
rnacentral:rRNA from 1 species